rnacentral:rRNA from 1 species
UACGGAGGGGGCGAGCGUUAUUCGGAAUUAUUGGGCGUAAAGGGCGCGUAGGCGGCUGUACAAGUCAAAGGUGAAAUCCCUCGGCUCAACUGAGGAACUGCCUUUGAAACUGUACGGCUUGAGGCCGGGAGGGGGUAGCGGAAUUCCCAGUGUAGCGGUGAAAUGCGUAGAUACUGGGUGGAACACCAGUGGCGAAGGCGGCUACCUGGACCGGUUCUGACGCUGAGGCGCGAAAGCGUGGGUAGCAAACAGG